GAUGAACGCUAGCGGCAGGCUUAAUACAUGCAAGUCGAGGGGUAGCAAGAUUGUAGCAAUACAAUUGUUGACGACCGGCAAACGGGUGCGGAACACGUACACAACCUUCCUACAAGUGGGGAAUAGCCCAGAGAAAUUUGGAUUAAUACCCCGUAACAUAGCGAUGUGGCAUCACAUUGCUAUUAUAGCUUCGGCGCUUGUUGAUGGGUGUGCGGCUGAUUAGAUAGUUGGCGGGGUAACGGCCCACCAAGUCUACGAUCAGUAGCGGAUGUGAGAGCAUGAUCAGCCACACGGGCACUGAGACACGGGCCCGACUCCUACGGGAGGCAGCAGUAAGGAAUAUUGGACAAUGGACGCAAGUCUGAUCCAGCCAUGCCGCGUGAAGGAUUAAGGUCCUCUGGAUUGUAAACUUCUUUUAUAAGGGACGAAAAAAGGUCUUUCUAGAUCGUCUGACGGUACCUUAUGAAUAAGCACCGGCUAACUCCGUGCCAGCCGCCGCAGUAAAAC
rnacentral:rRNA from 1 species